rnacentral:rRNA from 1 species
AUGGUGAUGGUCGAGCUCGCUGUGGCUGGAUGGUUCGUGUCUGUCUGCCUUUCCAAGCUCGCCGACCCUGUGAUACAGCAUGCAAAGGACCGGUACAAAGACCAGAAGAAUUUUGUGGCCAACACCGAGAAGCUCAAGUGGCGACUCGAGCAGAUUUCAGAAGCAAUCAGCCGGGCCAAGGAAAGGGAAGUUGAUGAUUCCAAAUUGCAGUCGUGGAUCCAGAGACUCGGAGAUGCGGUUUUCACAGCAGAAGAUGUUCUUGAUUCCAUCAAGUAUGCAAUGUUGAAGCACCAGGUAACGAUCGAGCCUGUACUCAAGCGUUUAAUUUCUCCUAGCAAAGAUGCUUCUGAUUUCAUUCCCCAAGACACAAAAGACGCUGAAGAUUUGACCAAAGUCAUCAUAAAGCUUGACAGAAUUUCUGCAGAGAUGAGUAGCUUGUGCUUCUUGUGUGGGCAAGAUGCUACACAAGGAUUGGUGCCUGAUCAAGCUCCUGAUUGGCGGGUGACCACUGCGUCCGACACACAACCAAAUCUGGUUGGUCGGCAGAAAGAAGCAGAUGAACUCAUGGCAUUUUUACUCAAACCUGAACAAGGUAAUGAGAAAGUCUCACGUAUUUCUGUUGUCGGAAUGGGUGGUGUUGGGAAGACAGCUCUCGUCCGGGAAGCUUACAACGAUAGCAGAACAGACUGCUUUGGAGUGAAGGUCUGGAUCUGUGUAUCACAUAGAGCCAGCAUCACAAGGGUCUUGAUUGACGCAACCAAUGCUGCUUCCAAAAAAUUACUGCUUUAUCGCCAUCCUGCGCCCGACAAGGGCACCAUCAAGAGUAUGCUGGCAGAUGUUUUGAAAGAUAAGAGAUUUCUCAUAGUCCUGAAUGACAUAUGGGAUUAG